rnacentral:sRNA from 1 species
GCCAGGUGCAGUGACACACGCCUGUAAUCCUUGCAGCUCGGGAGGCUGAGGCAGGAGGAUUGUGAGUUCAAAGCAACAGCAUGGUGAGAUCCUGUCUCUA